rnacentral:rRNA from 1 species
UACGUAGGGUGCAAGCGUUGUCCGGAUUUAUUGGGCGUAAAGAGCUCGUAGGCGGCUUGUUGCGUCGGCUGUGAAAACCCGUGGCUUAACUGCGGGCUUGCAGCUGAUACGGGCGGGCUGGAGUUCGGUAGGGGAGACUGGAAUUCCUGGUGUAGCGGUGAAAUGCGCAGAUAUCAGGAGGAACACCAAUGGCGAAGGCAGCACUCUGGGACGGUACUGACGCUGAGACGCGAAAGCGUGGGGAGCAAACAGG